rnacentral:tRNA from 1 species
GAAACAUGGCUGUGUGGUUAAGGCGUUUGACUUAAAAUGUAAAUUUCGUGUGAGAUCGUAGGUUCGAAUCCUAUAGCCUUCA